GGGGGGGGGGGGGGGGGGGGGGGGGGGGGGGGGGGGGGGCGGGGGGGGCCGGCGGGUGUGGGGUGCUCGAGGGGCGAACGGGUGGGUAACACGUGAGUAACCGGCCCUUGACUUUGGGAUAACUUCAGGAAACUGGGGCUAAUACCGGAUAGGAGCUCCUGCUGCAUGGUGGGGGUUGGAAAGUUUCGGCGGUUGGGGAUGGACUCGCGGCUUAUCAUCUUGUUGGUGGGGUAGUGGCUUACCAAGGCUUUGACGGGUAGCCGGCCUGAGAGGGUGACCGGCCACAUUGGGACUGAGAUACGGCCCAGACUCCUACGGGAGGCAGCAGUGGGGAAUAUUGCACAAUGGGCGGAAGCCUGAUGCAGCAACGCCGCGUGCGGGAUGACGGCCUUCGGGUUGUAAACCGCUUUCGCCUGUGACGAAGCGUGAGUGACGGUAAUGGGUAAAGAAGCACCGGCUAACUACGUG
rnacentral:rRNA from 1 species